UAGCAAGCACUCAAAACAGAGCGGACUUGUGAAGAGAGAGAGAGACGUUACGUUUAGGUUGUUAAACUUUGUGAAUGUGUUUUAAGAAGACCAUCCUGCUGCAAAUCAUAUGUCUUAUAAGGACACACCAUUUGUCCAUGCCCAUGACGAGGCCAUGCCUCUUGUUGAGUGUGCUUUAACACCAAUUGGGCAAGUCUGACCCUGUGUCUCAUAAGCCAGGGCAAUGGACAUUGACAAUCCAGUGAGAAAGUCUUUCCUUGGAGACAGAUGUUCCUUUUGUGCGUCCUCCAUAUAAAGAGCUGAUCGGACAGUCCGAACUGGCGUGUACGCUCAACAUAUGCGUGCAGCGCCCGCACAGGGCAUAACAAAUGCAAUGAUUGUUCCUCAUCCGAAUUAAAUGGUGGAGGGAAGAGGGCCUGAAGGUGAACCACCUGCAUUCUGAUGGCCAUGUUUGACAGUGCCUUUUGAAAGACCAUGGUCAAACUCCAGACAUGAAUUGUCGAUUGAUAGUUCAUGCAGGUCACUGACCCGUUUUACUGAGGCCAGAGCCAGCAUUAGUGCAGAGUCCAAAGGCUUGAAGGAGGGCCCUGUGAGGACAAAUGUUUAGUCCCAAAUUGGGACUGUAGCCGGCCAAGAUGGGUUUAAUCGUCUUGCUCCUUUAGGAACUUUAUGAUUAAAUCAUCCUUGCCUAUAGUGUCGCCGGCAUCAUGUGCAUGAUACGCAGAUAUAGUUGCCACAUACACUUUAAGCUUUGACAGAGUGAGUGACUAUAUCAUAAUUUCAGUUGGUCAGAAGUUUACAUACUAAGUUAACUGUACCUUUAAGCAGCUUGGAAAAUUCCAGAAAAUUUGUCAAUUAUCUUCUGAUGGAGGUGUACUAAAUUGGAUGUGCACCUGUGGAUGUAUUUUAAGACCUACCUUCAAACAUAGUGCCUCUUUGCUUGACAUCAUGGGAAAAUCAAAAGAAAUCAGCCAAGACCUCAGAAAAAAACUGUGGACCUCCACAAGUCUGGUUCAUCCUUGGGAGCAAUUUCCAAAUGUCUGAAGGUACCACGCUCAUCUGUACAAACAAUAGUAAGAAAGUAUAAACACCAUGGGACCACACAGCCAUCAUACCACUCAGGAAGGAGACACAUUCUGAUCCCUAGAGAUGAAUGUAGUUUGGUGCGAAAAAUUCAAAUCAAUUCCAGAACAACAGCAAAGGACCUUGUGAAGAUGCUGGAGGAAACAGGUAGACAAGUAUCUAUAUUCACAGUAAAAACAAGUCCUAUAUUGACAUAACCUGAAAGGCUGCUCAGCAAGGAAGAAACCACUUCAAAACCACCAUAAAAAAGCCAGACUACAGUUUGCAAGUGCACAUGGGGAAGAAGAUCUUUUUGGAGAAAUGUCCUCUGGUCUAAUGAAAAAAAAAUGGAACUGUUUUGCCAUAAUGACCAUCAAUAUGUUUGGAGAAAAAAGUGUGAGGCUUGCAAGGUGAAGAACACCAUCUCAACUGUGAAGCAUGGGGGUGGCAUCAUGUUGUGGGGGUGCUUUGCUGCAGGAGGGACUGGUGCACUUCACAAAAGAGAUGACAUCAUAAGGAAGGAAAAUUAUGUGGAUAUACUGAAGCCAAAAUUCCAGCAACUUAUUGUGAGAUGCUUGUGGAAAGCUUCCCAAAAUAUUUGACCCAAGUUAAACAAUUUAAAGGCAAUGAUACCAAAUACUAACAAAGUCUAUGUAAACUUCUGACCCACUGGGAAUGUGAUGAAAGAAAAAAAUGCUGAAAUAAAUCAUUAUCUCUACUAUUAUUCUGACAUUUUACAUUCAUAUAAAUAAAGUAGUGAUCCUAACUAAGACAGGGAAUGUUUUCUAUUAUUAAAUGUCAGGAAUUGUGAAAAUCUGAGUUUAAAUGUAUUUGGCUAAGGUGUUUGUAAACUUCUGACUUCUGCCAGGAAGACAUUCAUGAAAGUAAAAGGGUGAAGAUGGAUUUCUCACCAACAUCACAGCUGGACCAAAGUCCUGCAGCUGACUCGCUCUGAUAUGUUAUGCUCUUCAAAGAUCUUGCCAGACCAUAUAAAGGCAGCUGUUCCUGUGAUUAAAGAUUUACUAGAUACAGAGUCUGGGGUGGAUGUAUUGUUUUCAAUGCUGUGUUUAUCUGAAGCACCUGAGAAGAGUUUACCUCAGUUCUGUAACUGUCUGCUUGAACUGUCCCGAGACCUCAAUCACAGCACUGCUUCUGCUGUUAUCACAAAAA